rnacentral:misc_RNA from 1 species
GUUGAGUGCGGAGACUUAUGGGUUUCUGACACAGAUUGUUGUAGAACUAUUCAGGGCUAAGCAAAAUUUCCAGUUGACACCUUCAAAUAUCAAUAUCAGGAGGUGGCAAUUUCCAGAAAUUCCAUGAAUUAUAAUCCUCCUGCUCAGAUGAUGUCAUGGUUGGGAACAUCCCCUGCACAAGAUCAUGAAGCGUAGUGUAUGAUUUUGUGUCAACACGGCGGUUCAC